GUCCAGGGAUGGGAAUCGAACACACAGUAUUCCGUUUACCAGGCAGAUGCUAUGUCUACUAGGCUACCCUGGA
rnacentral:tRNA from 1 species